rnacentral:rRNA from 1 species
AUGCCCAGCCCGCCCAAGGACCGCCCCGCCGGCCGCCUCGGCCGCCUCAUCUCCGCGCUCCGCCCCGCGCGCGCCGGCCCGCUCCCCGUCCAGACCGGCUUCCCCACCUCCCUCGCCGACCUCUUCGUCAAGAACCAUGGCCGCCUCAAGAAGCAGCAGGGGCCAUCCUCCACCAGGCGCAAGAGGCGGGGCGCUCCCCCUUUGCCUUCCCCGGAGCCCUCUCCCCCGCCCCCCUCUCCUCCACCGCCGUCGCCCCCGCCGGCCGCCGUCUCCCCGCCGUCGGCCCAGCCAGGGCCCGACCCUCCGCGGGCGGAGCCCGUCUGCCGCCCCGGAGGCCAAGCCGCCGGCCUCGGAUUGGGGUUCCUCGCGCUCGUCGGCGCGGUGUCCCUCGCCCUCCUCGUGAUCUGGAGCAGGAAGGUGGUUGCGGCCGUCACCGUCGCCGCCUUCUCCCUCUUCCUGCUGGAAUCCGUCCGGGCGUCCUCGCUUCGCCGGGGGCCCCGGCCCCCGGCGCCCACCGCGGAGCUGGACAUCGACGGCCGCGGCUACGUCUCGCCGAUCCGGGAGCUGGAGGGGGAGCCGGAGCCGCUGGGGUCGAGCUUCUCCGACUCCGGCAGGGGGAUCAGCGCCUCCAUCCUCGGCAUUGACGAGAGGAGCGAGGCCGGCGAGGAUUCGUGCGUGUGGGAGCCGAAGCCGAGGAAGAGGUCGCCAUGGAGGAAGCUGAUCCCCAGGAAAUUGCAGAGAGGCCGGAAGAUUGGCAAGGACCCGGGCUCCCUGUCAAGUUCUUUCCGGUCAAGCUCUUUCCGCAGCGAGGUCAGCCAGGCGGAUUCCACGGUCGGCGGCAAUGCCGGGGCGACGGAUCCCCCGGACUCUCGCCGCGGCAGACGCAACCAAGCGAAUGCCAAGGCGGACGCCGUGGGCAAGUCGCCGGAUUCAUCGGGCCCUCUCCGCCUUGGCAUGGUUGACGGCAUCAAAUCGCGCGAUUCGUCGGGCCCUCUCCGCCUUGGCAUCAUGGGCGACGGCGUCAAAUCGCGCGACUCAUCGGGCCCUCUCCGCGGCACGGUCGACGGCGCGGACGCCGCCACCAAAUCGCCUGAUUCGUCGGGCCCUCUCCGCGGCAUGGUUGACGGCGAGGCGCGCAACAACGGUGCGCGUGCGCCGAUAGAACUCGCCGGGGCGGACGGCGUAGGAGGCCGGUUCCCCUUGGUAGCUGUAACCGUCGUCGUCCUCGUAGGCUUGGUCGCCGGGAGGGUCCCGGCCGUGGCGCUCACCGUACUUUGGUCCGUGCUGGUUGGCUCGCUGCAGAGAUUGCGGCGGGACGGCGAUGUAGGAACCUCCCAGGGUUGA